UGUUCUGGCUAUUCAGUGUUUAACCGUGGCCUCUGAAUCUGCAUUUAGCACCGGAGGGAGAACUUUGGAUCAAUUUAGGAGCUCUUUGCUUCCAACUACUGUAGAGGUCUUAAUUUGCUGCUGAGAUUGGUUGAUAAAUGAAAAAAAACCCAUCCAACUUGAAGAAUCCAUUGAAGAGCUUGAAAAUUGGGAGUCAGAUUACUCAAGAUUCUGAUGUUAUGGAGAUUAUUAUUCCAAGAACUAGAGUGGAUUGCUAGGUGACAUCAUAUUGGAGGAAGGCUUGAAGGAGUUCAUUUUAUGUGGAAAAUGUAGCAAUAAGGAAUGUGGAGGCUAGUUGUUGUUGUUGUUGUUGUUUUUUUUUUUUUUUUUU